CGUGAGCGUGAGGGAUAGAGGCGGUAUCUCCCGAUUUAGAAAACAAGGCUUUUUAGCCGUAGUUUUUCUAAAUCGGGAAUAUAGCCGAAAGCCCGACCCGGA
rnacentral:misc_RNA from 1 species